GGAAACCAAGUUUUUCGGCCGUCUGCGUUUGCUCGGUCUUAAAGAGACCUCAUUAGAAGAGCCAGAUGGCGACGAAAAUGAGGACGUGGUUGUCGUAUUAAUUGAUACGCCUUUUGACAGACAACUUGUGGCUGGAGUCGUUUACCUGUGGUGGGAAGUACUGACCUCAGUCGUUGACUCAUUAGCAGCUGGGCUGGUGACUUCAGGCCGUCGACUGGAGUGUUGAGGUACUCCAGCAAGCUGAGCAGCACUGGGUGGACACUUCUUUCUUGAUUCAGGCCAG